UACAGUAAUUGCUCAAUAAAGAUGAUUGGUGU
rnacentral:piRNA from 1 species